rnacentral:rRNA from 1 species
UACGUAGGUGGCGAGCGUUGUCCGGAUUUAUUGGGCGUAAAGAGCCCGCAGGCGGCUUGGCAAGUCUUUGGUGAAAUCUCCCGGCUUAACUGGGAGGGUGCCAGGGAAACUGCCAGGCUUGAGGCAGGGGAGAGGGAUGCGGGAAUUCCCGGUGGUAGCGGUGAAAUGACGUAGAUAUCGGGAGGAACACCAGUGGCGAAGGCGGCAUCCUGGCCCGUGUCCUGACGCUCAGGGGCGAAAGCGUGGGGAGCAAACCGG